UUCUCUCAGCCUCUCUUCUAUUUCUCUCAGCCGAUGAAACCAGAUGAGUUUCUCUCAGCCUCUCUUCUCUUCCUCUCAGCCGAUGAACUAGAUUGAGUUUGAUGAAUCAGUUUCAAUUCAGUUUGUUCAUCAUCUGUAAUAGGAUUUUUAGGACUUCGUAAAUUGAUUUUAGGGUUUCUGUCUAUAUUAUGAUUCAUUUUUUCGAUUUUAAUUUGUUCGUCGAAGUUCGAACUUGGAAGAACUGAUCUUCACUCUCAGCUAAUCGUGAGAAAGCAUCUGUUCUACUUUGUUUAAUUUAGAUUUCUUUUCAGAUGCAGAUGGGAAUGAAGUUGAGAAGUUGACUGAGAAGCUACAAAGGGGUUAGCAUAAGGAGAAGCUUCUUAAGCUUGUGGUUUCUCAAUCAACUGUCACUGGUUGGAGCGGCACAUUGUAUUGCUGUUUCUGAUGCGGUUGAUGUCGGUGAUAGAGCUGAGGAUGAAGAUGAGGAAGACGAUGAGGAAGGGGAAGAUGAGUAUGAGAAAGGUGGGGUUAUAAUAGACGAUGUUGAUGUAGAAGAUCAGGAUAAAGAAGAGAAUAGGGAAAGUAGUGAUGAGGAUAAACAAAAGGAGAGGAAAAAGUGGUUGAUUUUCUGUCCACAAAUUCUUUAAGGCUUUCAUUUAUAUAUUUCAUUGUUUUAUCCCUGAAGAUCUGGUUACUAUUAUGAAUGUAAGGAAUCUGAGAAGAAUUAUGUCUUAGCUGAGGAUGAUUAAGAGUUACUGCAGGAUUACAAUGCGGGCUUUCACCGUCCUGCACCAGGAAGUAAAAAGUUCAAGCGACUAAAGAAAGCGGGGAGGGGUAAUUAUUUGGAGGAGCAUACUGGUCUAUCUGACAAUGAUGCAGCGUAUAGAAGUGGUUUUAAGGGAAUAAGUGCUGAAGAAAGCGGGAAGGGGUAAUUAUUUGGAGGCUCAGAAGAUAGGUUUUGACUAUAUGGAUGUGGAGGGUAUGAAGAAGCUUACCAAGAACAAGAAAUUGGUCAAGAAGCUUGCUAAGGAAUACCAUGUAUCUGAAGCCGUUAUUAAGCAAGUUCCUCGUCUUCUUGGACCUGGUCUCAACAAGGAAGGAAAGUGUAUUUCCUUGAACCAAAAAUCUCUAUCGGGAUAAGGUAUACUGAGUGUAGAGUUAUUUAGUCUUUUGUCUUUGUCUGAUGUACCUUUUAUCACGCUCUAGGCAAGUUAUGUUGUAUUUGUUCUGGUUGACACAUGAGCAAGGGAUAAAGGUUCUUGUUAAUGCUAUCCAAGCUUGCACUGAAACAAUAGAUAGCCACAAGGAUAAACUGGUAGUAAAGGAGGCACCAAGAGUGCAGAUUCUCAUUAGCGUUAACGAUUGUUACGACUAAAACAACAUCGAACAGUGGUCGGGUUGAAGAUGCUCCUGAAGUUCCUGAAUCCGAUAUAAGACUUCAAUGAUACCUAUAACAGCAUCGAAGACUUAUCUUUCGACACAGUUAUAUCAGCUUAGAGAAGAGAGAGACAUGAAUCCUGAAACUUUUUCUAGUCUUGUUUCUGCUAUUCUCUACGAGAAAAGGUUUGGUCCACAUUUCUGUCAGCCUGUCCUGCCAUUGCUGGUUUAGGAGAAGAUAAUAAGCCCUUUAUCUGCACAAUGGAUUCAAUUGGUGCCAAAGAAUUUGAGGUGUGGGGCUUACUAUACACGAAGAAAUUACUGGACAGGGAUCUUUGGAGCAAUAAUUUUUCGGGACAGGUGCCAUCUUCUAUUGCUGAUCUAGAGCAUCCGCUUAUCUUGUUAUAUGAAUGAUGCGUUUUCUGAUCGAAAGGCUGGAGAAUAAAGCAGCGCAAGUUUUGUAAGUUUAUUUGUAGGAAGUUAUUAAGUUUCUAUAUAUUCCAUUAGAAAUUUGGAACUUAGUUUCUAUAGAAUUUGAUACUUAACAAAAAAUUGGUACUUAGAAGAAUUUAUGUACUUGCCAAAAAAAAAUUAUACUUGGAAGAAUUUGUGUUCUUUUUUGGCAUGAAUUGGUUGAAUGUGAUGUGAAUUGAUUGCUGAAUGUAAUAUGAAUUGAUCGUUGAA